CGGACAGAAUAGAAAAGAAGAGAAAAAAAGAAAGGAGGAGUGAGCCCUUAGUCCCAUAAGAAGAAAAAUUGCGAUCUACGAAGAUCCAACGGUCGGAUCUUCAAUCCGUCUUCGGAAACGUGAUCCUUGUACUCGAAUCUACAUUCUUACCGAUUGUUUUUAGGUAUUUGGGCUUAUUGGAGCUUACUUGGGGUUACCCAAACUUUGGGUUGAAGUUUGGUGAAUUUGGCGGCACUUUGUAGAUUGAGCCUAGGACUCGUUAGUGUUGGUGUGCAAGCAGUCAGAUGAUGUCCCUUUGACUGCAGGUACACCUGACUUAGAGGAGGACCCCGUAGCUGUGUAUUUGGGAUAUUACGAUUGAAGCACACCGCGACAGUCGUAUUGAGUUGGACUAUGGAGUUCACUCUUUUGGGGUAUUUUGUAUAUGGCUAGUGACGUAGGUGUCACAUAUUCUUUUGUGUAGCCAUUCUUUUGUAUUAGUGGAUAAUUGUAAGCCUUAAACAGUUAGACAGAUAUAUGGCUCUUUUGUA